rnacentral:rRNA from 1 species
AGCAGCCGCGGUAAUUCCAGCUCCAAUAGCGUAUAUUAAAGUUGUUGCAGUUAAAAAGCUCGUAGUUGAAUUUCGGGAUUAGUACGUUGGUCGUGCCUUAGGUACGUACUGGUGUUACUGGUUCCUACCUUCUGACGAACCAUCAUGUCAUUAAUUUGGUGUGGCGGGGAAUCAGGACUGUUACUUUGAAAAAAUUAGAGUGUUUAAAGCGGGCUCGCGCUUGAAUACAUUAGCAUGGAAUAAUGAAAUAGGACGUUGACCCUAUUUUGUUGGUUUCUAGGAUUGACGUAAUGAUUAAUAGGGAUAGUUGGGGGCAUUAGUAUUCAAUUGUCAGAGGUGAAAUUCUUGGAUUUAUUGAAGACUAACUACUGCGAAAGCAUUUGCCAAGGAUGUUUUCAUUAAUCAAGAACGAAAGUUAGGGGAUCGAAGACGAUCAGAUACCGUCGUAGUCUUAACCAUAAACUAUGCCGACUAGGGAUCGGAUGAUGUUAAUUUUUAAUGACUCAUUCGGCGCCUUACG